rnacentral:tRNA from 1 species
UAGGCAGAGGCUUGUUGGUUCGAGCACUUAGCUGUUAACUAAGAAUUUGUAGGAUCGAGGCCUACCUGUCUAG